rnacentral:misc_RNA from 1 species
GCUGGCUUCUUUCCAAGGACCAUGUAGCAUGUUCCUGAAGUAGGAACUGCGAGAGAGGAUGAGGCGAUGGAGAUGGUAGGUGGAGCCCAUAGCGUGGACUACAAUAUCGGAGAAGGAACCAGAAUUGAAGCCCUCCAUCUGGAUGUGGUCGCAGAGGGAAGUGAGAUUACAAUCCAGAGCCCGGAGCUCGCUUCUACUCCGGUCAUUGUCGGAGUGAUGUGAGGGCUGAAUCGUCAUUUUCAUCUGGUGCGGCCCAUAAGUUCGAGGCUGCUGUNNNNNNUCCAUUGUUAAGUUUUUGAGGUCCUUUUGGAAUUCAGAGUGUAGAUCAAAGUAGAGGAGGAAGAAAGG